rnacentral:rRNA from 1 species
CGCCUGACAACCAUAGCAAGGUGGUCCCACUCCUUCCCAUCCCGAACAGGACAGUGAAACGCCUUUGCGCCGAUGAUAGUGGACGGACGUCCGUGAAAGUAGGUCAUUGUCAGGCUU